rnacentral:rRNA from 1 species
AUUGAACGCUGGCGGCAUGCCUAACACAUGCAAGUCGAACGAGUGGCGGACGGGUGAGUAAUGUCUGGGACACUGCCUGAUGGAGGGGGAUAACUACUGGAAACGGUAGCUAAUACCGCAUACCAUCGGAUGUGCCCAGAUGGGAUUAGCUAGUUGGUGGGGUAAAGGCUCACCUAGACGACGAUCCCUAGCGGGUCUGGAAGGAUGACCAGCCACAAUGGAACUGUGACACGGUCCAGACUCCUACGGGAGGCAGCAGUGGGGAAGAGUGGACAAUGGGCGCAAGCCUGAUGCAGCCAGGCCGCGUGUAUGAAGAAGGCCUUCGGGUUGUAAAGUACUUUCAGCGGGGAGGCGUUACCCGCAGAAGAAGCACCGGCUAACUCCGUGCCAGCCGCCGCGGUAAUAC